GACGGAGGGAGCAAGCGUUGUCCGGAUUUACUGGGCGUAAAGCGCGCGUAGGCGGCUUGUUAAGUCGGCUGUGAAAUCGCUGGGCUCAACUCAGCAAUUGCAGUCGAUACUGGCAGGCUCGAGUCCGGGAGAGGGAAGCGGAAUUCCUGGUGUAGCGGUGGAAUGCGUAGAUAUCAGGAAGAACACCGGUGGCGAAGGCGGCUUCCUGGACCGGUACUGACGCUGAGGCGCGAAAGCUAGGGGAG
rnacentral:rRNA from 1 species